AUUACCCAAAAGGGAAACAAAGAAACUAUAGAGCAAAGACACGGGGACAAAAGUGUCAACUAAACGCCACAGGUUCUUUGGAACAUAUAUGUUUCUAUGUACGUAUAUAUAUGUAGCAGCAGUCAAACCCCAGCAGCAAUGACAGUCAAUUCAGUUCAUGGACUACGAGGAGAAAGAGCUCGGACUGGUGUCUUUGACGGACUUACCCUGCAUAGUGCGCAUACCAGACAUAAGAAUGGUUCAUAAUUCAGAUGGUAUUAUAAGAGUUCCAUGAAGGACAAAUAAAAUCAAAGAUAGGCAGCGCACCCAAAAUCACGCCACUGCAGCUUAGAGCAACAAUUGCUCUCAACCUGAAAGAAUGAAACAUUAGGAACUAGAGUCAUAAAGUUCAUAAUGCAAAAUCACUUCUAAUUGCAGUUGCAGAAUUAAAUUUAGGGACUAAGGGUCAUCAUCAAAAGAUUGAAUAUUCUUGAAUUAUCAACAAUGAAAAAAUCUGUAUCGCAUCAGUUAUCAAUAAUCGUAAGCUGAUAUGUUGGAAUGAAAAUUCCAAAAUCACUGUAGCAAACAAAAAAAAGUUAUCUUUCAAAAUAUUGGAACCAAAUUAGGUCUUGGGACAGAACCCAUUUGCAGAAGAUUGAAUGUGUAGUUAUUAGGCUCAUAUAUCAGUGACAAUUUGUAGUUCAAAUUUGCAUCAAGGGUCAUAAAGCGACAAUUUCAUGAAUAUAAUUUCAUCUGAAAAUUGCAUUAUAGCCGUCAAUUCAUAAUGCAUUUUACUCUUAGGGUCAUUGAGGCAUCCAUCCCUUACAAAAUUUAUGAAACAAAGUAUAUUCAUCGAUUCUAACAUUUAAAUUUGGGGUUUAGGGCCAUAUAUACUCCACCCCAUUUUUGGAUAAUGAAAAACAUUCCAAUUCACAAUGAUCCACAUUCUUUCAAACCAUUGAAUUUUCUUGAUAAUUUCACAUAAAUGAAAUGCAAACCGACAAUAAGUUGGACGGCUAACCCUUUUUGAAGGAAAAGGAAAAAGUAGUUUUCUUUCAAAAUAUUGGUUCCAAAAACUGACCUAACAAAAGUUAUUGGGACAAAACACUUUUGCUCAAAUAAGAUUUCUUUUUUUUCUUCUCUCAGUUUCAAACAGAAGAUUGAAUGUUUUUGAAUAUUAAAGAAUGAAAAAAAUGGGUAUUUGAAGAUGCAUCAAUGUAAAUUAAAAAAUUACCGUAUGAAGCAAGCAUGUUCUGAUGUUGCAAGUAAUAGAGAUGAUUGAGUGACCCAACAUUCACACAAUGCAACAUAGGUUCUGAUCAGUUUCAUACUUUGACACAGUGCAAUGAACAAGCCGGUUCUGA
rnacentral:lncRNA from 1 species